AUACGUAGGGAGCGAGCGUUGUCCGGAAUUACUGGGUGUAAAGGGAGCGUAGGCGGGAGUGCAAGUCAGAUGUGAAAUACAUGGGCUCAACCCAUGGGCUGCAUUUGAAACUGCAUUUCUUGAGUGAAGUAGAGGUAAGCGGAAUUCCUGGUGUAGCGGUGAAAUGCGUAGAUAUCAGGAGGAACACCGGUGGCGAAGGCGGCUUACUGGGCUUUUACUGACGCUGAGGCUCGAAAGCGUGGGGAGCAAACAGGAUUAGAUACCCUGGUAGUCCACGCUGUAAACGAUGAUUACUAGGUGUGGGGGGACUGACCCCUUCCGUGCCGCAGUUAACACAAUAAGUAAUCCACCUGGGGAGUACGGCCGAAAGGUUGAAACUCAAAUGAAUUGACGGG
rnacentral:rRNA from 1 species